AGUUUUCCCAAGGAAGCUUAAGGUCAUGGAAGCUCUAGGGUAAAAGGCGCAGAAACAUAAUCCACAUCCUUUAAGAGGAUACAGGUGGGAACGGCCCAUUAUAUACAUUCUGGAGUUAUUUGCUAAAUUAUCUUUCCAGGACAGAUUGCCCCCAAAAAGAUGAGGCCACACAGCAUGUCCUGUGGGACAGGAGAAAUACGGAGAAUGCAGCACACUUGCUUCCUACCGAAAUUCAAAAGAAGUAAGAAGCAUGGCCCCCAAUGUGAUCAAGUUGAACAAUAGAAUAUAGAUUCAUCAAGCUACUUGGCAACAAAUACAUGGCAAAGGACUUUCGUUUUAUCUGUAUUUUAACUCCAUUAGUACAUGGACCAUAUGGCACUAACCUUCCUAGCAUUUUGUCAACUCACAACUCAGGAAAUAUGCACAGAUUAAAAUCAAAUUGUUUUGGGACAGCAGAGGAUGAAGAAACUCAUUUUGACUGAAGUUAUUGGAUGAGACAUGGCUGUGGACAACUUCAGAGAAGAUAUAUUUAAGCAGAACCUUAAACUUAUGUCAGAAUUUUUAAUCACCAGAAAUCAGCAAAGGCAAAGGCAUAUAGACUAUUUCUCAGAUGCACUUGUCAAGAUGAGAGAAUGUGGGCAGAGGAAAUCCCUGAAAAACCAGAUGGCACAAGUUACUCAGAAGAGAUGAAAGGGUUUUCCAUAAUUCAAAUAGGAGGUGGAAGAGGAAGUGUGGGAGUAAUUACUGGAUUAAGAUCACUGAAAGACAAGGUUGUCUUUAAGGGUGAGUCCUUUGGUUGGUAAACUUCAUAUAGGAAAAAUUCUCAAGUGGUUGCCAAGAGCUAACCUUCAAGAUGAAGUACAUAAAACUGCUGACAGGCAAACAUGACUCUCAGGUUUAUUUCAAACUGUCCAUACUUAUUAAAGCUCUUCAUUGCUCUAGGUCAGGGAAAAGUUACAUAGGGUCCCUGAUUAUACUUCAUACUUCAUUUCUAAAUCUGAGUUCUGAAGGGGUGUGUGUGUGUGUGUGUGUGUGUGUGUGUGUGUGUGUGUGUGUGUGUGUCUGGGUGUAGAGAGAGUAGGAAUUCUGAGACCUGAUAGUGUUAACUCUGGAGUUUGAUAGGGAUAAUACAAAAAGAGAGAGGCAUAUAAGAGGAACAUAAAAAAAAAUUGAAGACUAAGGACACACCCCUAGCUAGGAAUACACAUGACCCUUUUGCCACCCAAACCAUACCAUUGCCAUUUGAAUCACUACUUAACUAAAUGGUAGAAAGCAAUUACAGUAAGUGCUCAACUUAAUCACUUUGCAUCCAUACAGAGACCCCUGGGGCUUCUCAUAAAUUUCAUCACACAAAGUGUCCACAAUUCUCUGCCUUGCAGAAAUAUGUUUCUUACAGGGAUUUGUAGGUGGCUUUCCUACUAAAUUCCUGGACUGUUAAACUCAUUGUUCUAUAUUUCUGCUAUCUACUGUUAAAAGGAGAGGCCAGCUCAGGUUUUGCAUACUGUAGGAAGUUUGUUUUAUCCAUUUGGGAAAUCAAGAUCACAUCUUUAUGGGACUAGAAAUUGUGGAGAACUCAUUCCCUCCAACGCCAACCCCUGGUGAUCUCGUUCUAGUGAGUAAAACCUCAGGUCAGUUGAUUGUAAAUGGAUUUUUUUUUAAAAAAGCUUAAUUCAGGCUUUUAUUGCUCUUGUGUUCAGUGGAUUCAUCUUGUGACUGGCUCCAGAUUGUGCCCUUCUCCCAUCCCACACCAAGCUGAUUUGCAAAUUCACACAAUUGUUCCCAAGGAGAGAAUAAUUGAUGACUCAGUAUAAACCCAUCACUACUCCUAGAAAAUAUAAUUCAUGAAUGCAUUCCUUAUUCAAAAACAUUUAGUAGCAUUUCAUAGGGAGGAGAUCAGCAUAUUAUCAGAGAAAAGAUUCAUGCCACAUUUUGUUUAAAAAUCUGUUUCAUUACUUCACAGUCACACUUCAGUAGGCCAGGCUAUAAUAGUUUCUUCUUGGCCUUUGAAAUGCUUCCUUUGCUUCUUCUGCUUUAUAGGGACUCAAAAUGAAUUAUUCAGAUACCUGUGAGCAUUAAGAAAAAAUGGCCUAAUUUCUGAAUAAUGCCAGUAUUAUCUUCUUAGUUAGACUGUGGGAAGAAUAUGUGCUCCUUCCUCUCCCAGAAACACCUUUCCUAACCUUCUUUCCCCCUAAUAACAUCCAUUUAAACCUUCUCAGCCUUAGAUUUUAAACUGAGAUAUAAUUUUAUCUGAGAGGGUUUUUCAUCUCUCCUUUACAUACCCAAAUAUGGUGUAAGUUGAUCUUUCAUCCUAUAGAAUUCUGUGCUCCUCCUCGCAAAUCCCACUUACCAAAUUGCAUUGUUAAUAACGUGGUUACUUAUCUGCAUCUCUGCUUUAAAAUGUACCUGGGGAGAGUUCCCUUUUAACCUGCAUCCCCCAAUCUAAUGCUUAAACAUAACAGGUGAUCUAAGGAUAUCUUGGACAAAUAGCUACCAUGGAGAAAUUCAUGCCAGAUACCAUUCUAAAUGUUUUACGUAUUUAACUCACUUAAACUUUACAGUAACCUCAUUAGGUAUGUACCAUUAACAUUCCCAAUUUUAAAUUGGAAAAGUUAAGGCACAGUGAGCUUUCAUAAUGUGUUGAAAGUCUUGUAGCUAGUAAAUGGUAUAGCAGGGUCAGUUCCCAACAGGAAGAAGUGAAGGGUAGGCAAAGUGUAGUAGGUACGCACUAUAUAUUCAAUAGAUCACACUAUGGAUUACCCACAUUAUCUAAUAAUCAAGGUUUGGAAGUAUUGGAAGGCUUGUUUUUAUGAAAUGCUCAUUAAUGCAUUGUACUUCAUAAACUGAAUGUUGGCAGUGGAAUUUUAUUCCAUCAGCACAUUUGCAUAUAAAGUUCUUUAAAUUUACUUUUUUUUAAAUGCCAAAAAAAAAAAAAAAAAGCAAAUCAACCAAACCAUUUCCUCCCUAGUUUCGGCUGCAAUCAGCAGUCAUAAAUCCUUAAGUGUUAAGUUAUGUUAUUUUUGAGAACUGAUGUGACAUGUCCUAGAUUUCAAAUGUAGAUGCUGCAGAGGACCACAUGAGUUUUUGAAUAAAAAUUGGUAUAUAGGACAUAAACAUUAAGGAAGCAGGUAGAAAGACACAGCUAUCUGAAUAGAGUCAGAUCUGAACUACUGCCACCUAGUGAUUCGAGUCAACCAUCAGCCCCCACACACUCACAGAUAUACACUAAUUAGAAUAAGUGACUUUUGUUGUGGCUUCUUCCUCACUCCAAAUAUCCUGGUAGCAAACUCUUCCUGCAACACUUUAAGGCCUCCCUCACAUGCUUUAAAAAUUAUAAUAAAAAAGAAGGACAGAAUGGUAGGAUUGGGAAAGACAAGGGUUAAAUGACAGAAGAGACAUCAAUAUAAGGCAGAAACACCAGAACUGUCGUGUAAAUUAGACGAAGAAAAGUAAAGAUCAAAAGUAGUGGAAAUUAAACAUUAUUGGUAAUAGAAGAAAAUAGAAAAAUUGAUGCAAAGAUAAGAGAAGACAGCAUGAAGGAAAGGGGGCUUUCUGAUUUCUUUGUUUUUAAACAAGUAACAGAAGACGAUAAAACAACCAUGUGUGGAAUUGUGAAAUCACCUAACAUAAAAAGACAGAGGGAUAGAUAACACCAACAGAGAUAAAGAAAAAUGAUGAAUGAAAGAAAGUGAAUGAACUGAGAGCUUAAUCUUGGAGGAGGGACUUCAAGUUUUUUGUUGUUUUUUAAGUAAUAAAACCAGAGUGGCAUAUUCCUUGUUCAAUUUAAUAUAAUUGGAACUAUCCAACGUCCUAGAUGUACAACUCGUUUUCCUUGCCAUUUUUUUCCCUCCUAUACCUCCAAUACCAAUAGUCCUUCUUGAUUUUUUUUCUUCAUUAACAAAGUUUUAAUUACCUUUUGGCUCCCUUGAGAUACUUUUGAACUUGCACCUGGAAUCAUGGAAAUGGACUGUAUCCCAAACUGAAAAUUUAUUUAGGGAAUUUUAUUAUUAUGGCACUCUUUGCAAUCAAUCAUAUUGAGCAGCCACGCCUUAGCAAUGUGCAUUAUGGUGACUACUGAUCUUCAGGUAUUGUUAUAGUUUGCCACAGGGUCACCUACGUCAGCAGCAAAUAAUGACACCUAACAUGUACUUCAUUUCAUGUUUUGAAAGCAUUUUAAUGUAUGUGAUACUUUAUUUCCCAAAAAAUGGUGUUUGAAAGACAGGGCUGGUAGCAUCAGCCCCUUUGAUAGAUGUGGCAUUUGGGUUCUGAAAUGUGUCUGAACUUUUCCAAGUACUCGGCUAGUGAGCUCUUUGUCAUCUGACUGUAAGUCUGGCAAAUAUGCUUUCAUUAGCAAUAUUUCUAUUCUCUUUGAGAGAAGGGAAAGCUACUUUUCUUUGUUCCAAAGUAAUAUCGGAGUUUGAAGCCAGUGUGCACAAAGCUGGGAAGGAGGUGUUACUACCUCUUUUUUUUUUUUUUUACGGGAAUCUCUUUGGAGAGAGAUUGCUUUGCUUCCUCCUGAGGGACCUCAUACAUUUGAAGGGUUUCUGGCCAGGUUGGGAAUGAAUUUGAGAAGCCUUUACCUUGUAGGUUUUCCAACAUCUUUCUAUGGCUUCUUCUUCCAUUUUCAGAUUCUAUUGUGCAUUGCCAUACUGAGAGUAUUACUUCCUUUGGUGAUAUACAUGACUGCAUAUAUAUAUUUGUAAAAAAUCGAUCAUUUAAAUCUGUUCAAAUGCCUUAUCUGUGCAGAGAACUGUCCGGAACCCUACUGGGUGUAGAACAAUAUGCAAAAUACUGCUUCUUAUUUCAUGAAAUUAUAAAUUAUAUAGAGCAUUAGAAUUGCAGUUUGGAUAGAUAUCCAUUGAUUUAUAUUUUCAAUAAAUAAUUAUCUGGUAUCAGCUAUGUAUCAGGUCCUAGAUGCUAUGUGCUGGCAAUACAAGGCAAACACCACCCUGUUCUUACAGAGCUUAUUGCUUCGGGAAGGAUGGCAUGAACAUUACUCUUGCUCCUACACUACAGCAGCUACUCAUAAUUGCUUAUGGAUAAUUCCAGAUAUUUCUUAGACUUAACUUUUUUUCCAGUUAGGAUAAAAGUAGUCCUGUAGCAACCCCUUCAAUUGGUGUACUUCUUUGCAACUUCUACGUUUGAAAUCUAGGACGUUUACUUUUGGUUUUCAAAGAAGAGUAUAGCUUGGCUUUUAACAAUUUGUUUUCAGUCUGAACUGGAAAAAAAUGACCCAGUUCAUCAGAUUUACCUAAAAUGGGAGGAAACAGUGAUAUAAAUUGGCACUGGUUAGUUCAACUUGAUUUUCAUGGAUUUAGUAGCUUUUAGAGCUGUAAGAUUUCAUCCAGUGUUCAAGUUUUGUAGACCAGAACACUGUUGAACGGAUGAAAGGUAAGGGGAUAGGAGGCAAAGGGACAAAUUAAGAGAACUUAGCAACACAGGCAAGAGUAGUUAAUGAUUCACCUUGGUUAGCAGCUGUGAAAAUUGAGAAAGAUGUAAGUAGAAAUAAGAGAGAUUAUGGAGGUAAAAUCUGCAGAAAUUAAUAUUGAUUGUGAGAAAGGAAGGAAACAGAGAACAUGCAACUACUGUGAGAAUUUUUUUAGCCUGGUACUGUUACCAGAACUAUGGACCACAGAAAGAGAAGUUAUUUGAAAGAAAUUAUAGCUAGACAGAAACUGCAGUGCUGUGUGACCUGACAACUUAAAAAUAAUAUAAAUAAGUCAGCAGGAUGCCCCAGAUGAAUCUAAGCAGGGAUUGAAAUUUUGUAGCCAAGGAAACCUGUUCUCUGACCACCAGAGGUCCAUGGGUAUGUGUUCGUGAGUAUGUGGGCUUUGGGGGUUUUGGCUGAAGAGGAAAGGAAAGGCUGGUGAAAAUGCACUUGGAGAGAAUAGAGGACAGGAUGGAGUCUCUUCUUUGGUUUUGCUGCUAUGACUAAGUUGAUCUUUAAUAGAAAGAGGGCAAGCAAAACCCAUCAAUAAAAGAAAGCAAGAAGAAGGAAGAGAGGGAGGGAAACCCUUCACUGCAAUUGGAAUAUUCAUUUAGUCCAUGUGAAACUCACCCUGGGGACUCUCAGUAAUAUUUUUGUGUGUGGGAGGGGAGCUCUUUUGGGAGCUGAAGCUCUUUCAUUAGUGAAUGGAGACAGGAAUCAGGAAAUGUAAAUUAUUAUUAUUAUUAUUAUUAUUAUUAUUACAGUAGUCCCUCCUUAUCCACGGGAGGUAGGUUCCAGGACUUCCAGUGGAUGCCUGAAACCAUGGAUGGUACCAAACCAUAUAUAUACUGUAUUUUUUCCUAUACAUACAUACCUAUGAUAAAGUUUAGUUUAUACAUUAGGCAUAAUAAGCCACAGUAAGAGAUUAGACAUAGUAAGAGAUUAUCAAUUAAUAGUAUAAUAGAAUUAUAACAAUAUACUAUAAUAAAAGUUAUGUGAAUAUGGAGUAUCUCGCUCUCAAAAUAUCUUAUUGUACUGUACUCAUCCUUGUGGUGAUGUGAAAUGAUGAAAUGUCUCCACGAUGAUAUGAAGUGAAGUGAAGUGAAUGACAUAGGCAUUGUGACGCAGCGUUAGGCUACUACAGUAUUGACCUUCUGACCAUACAUCAGAAAGAGGAUCAUCUGCUUCUGGUGAUCCUGGAUUAUCAAGCUAUGACAAUGUUGAUGGUUGCAUGUCAGGAGCAGAUAAUAUUGAUGACUAACAGGUAAGUGGCACAGACAGCAUGGAUAUCCUGGGCAAAGGGUGAUUCACAUCCUGGGUGGAAUGGAGUGGGUUAGCAGAAGAGUUCAUCACACUACUCAGAAUGACAAGCAAUUUAAGAAUUAUGAAUUGCUUAUUUCUGGAAUUUUCUAUUUAAUAUUUUUGUACCACAGUUGGCCAUGGAAUAAUGAAACUGUAAAUAGAAAAACUAUGGAGAAGGGGGAAAUUUCUGUAUCAUUAAUGUGACUUUUUAAACAAUAGGCUGAUGAUUAGUGGAGACAUCUGAGCUUUGGAUAAGAACCUUUGAGAGUUAAACUAUUAAAUCAACACACAAUGAGUCAUAAUAAAGAUACAAAAAUGGGUUUCCUGACCCAUAGGGCUGGGAUAUAACUUGACAUAUCUAACUGGAUAAAGAAAAUGUGGUACAUAUAGAUGAUGGAAUACUAAAAAGCCAUAAAAAGGAACAAGAUCAUGUCCUUUGCAGCAACAUGCAUGGAGCUGGAGGCCAUUGUCCUAAGCACAUUAUUAUAGGAACAGGAAACCAACUACAGUUUGUUCUCACUUAUAAGUGGGAGCUAAAUAUUGAGUACACAUGAACACAAAGAAGAGAACAAUAGACCCUGGGAAAGUAGAGGGUGGGAGGAAGAUAGAGAUUGAAAAACUACCUAUCAGGUACUAUGGUUAUUACCUUGGUGGUGAAAUAAUCUGUACACCAAAACCCGGGGAUGUGCAAUUUACCCAUGUAACAAACCUGCACAUGUACCCCCUGAACCUAAAAUAAAAGUUGGAAGGACAAAAAAUUUUAAAUAACAAAAAUAAAUCUGUUAAUUAAAAAACAUUGAUUAUCUGUGGAAGCCCGGAGGGUGGAAAUAAUAUCCUUCACUGAUUGAGUGCUCAUGAAAUGCCAGGAACUAUGCUAAAUAUUUUACAUAAUUAUCUUAUUAAUCCUUACAACAGGUAUUGAUACUUUUUUUCACACGAGGAAACAGAAGACUGAGAAGAAAAGAAGCCUGCUCAAGGUCACAUAGAGCUGGAAUUUAAAUUCAGAUCUAUUAUACUUUUAAGGACUGUGGAAGGGUGAGUAAGAAUAAGUCACAGAUUUCCAGUGUUUUGCCCAUAUAAUCAAAAUUACCCUUAUUAUGAAGAUAGAAAUGUCAUCAUAUCUGGGCCCAACUACACUAAAUUUUAAAUCACUUGACUAUGCCUUUUUAUUCUGAUUCUCUGAUCUCCAAUGAACUGUCUCUCUUGGAAAAUUAUUUGGUAGACACUGAUCUUAUGAAUGUGGCAGUUGAUUCCACCAAUGAGCACAAACUCAUUCUUAGUCUGCUUAAAAACUAAGUUAAUACAUUGAGGACCAAGGUAAUUUCACCCUAUGAGAACUCUGGAAAGGCAACCAAAUGAUAUCUUUAUUCAUUCAUUUGCUUGUCCAUUUGCUAUUCUUCAUGAUUGCUAUGUGCAAAGCACUGUGCAAGUCAUUGGAGAUACAGUGCUAUAACAAGAGACAUAUUUUUAUUGUUCUCAAGACCUAGUAUACUAGGAAAUAGAGACAUGGAAGAAAUCUUUUUUCAGGUAGUUAACUUUAAUAAUUAUUGUAGGACCCAAGAAGAAUUGCAGGAUGUGAUGUAGGUAUGGAAUAAGCAAACUUAUCUGAUAUAGGGAAUCAGAGAAAGUUUACCUGUUGAAAUUUCUCUGCAUUAUAUUUUGAAUAUUAAUGUGUUUCUGAUACCUCAAUAGAUUUUUGGGAGAUAUUGGGCUUUUAAUUAAAAAUGACCAGUAAGUGAUCUAAAAUAUCUUCCUGGAAGUUGGGGGAGAGAGAGAGAGGGAGCACAAGCUAGAAAAUAAUGCUGAUAGUUUAAAUGGUGGGAGUGGAUGAAAGCAGACGCAAAGAGGAAAUGACAGUCUUUGGGACACCUAUCCUUAGAGGGCAGGAGGAAAUUGAGAAACCAAGGAAAGUAAAGUUAUAAAGUAACCAGAAAAUAAAAAGUGCUGGCAUAGUUCAGUAUCACCAUAUUCAAAGGAAGAUAAGAUUUAAAAGAGGCAGGAAAGAUUGUCACCAGGAUCAAAAGCUAUGGACAAGAGACAUAGAUUGAGGACAGGAACUGAAGGUUGUGGUAGAGAUUACUGACCUAUAAUAGACCCAUUCUGCUCUUCUCUUUUAUAAGCAAAUGGAUUCCUGAUUCUUAGCUGAGCACAAGGUUGCCUAGUAAAAGAAUUACAUAUAUCCACCUAUUUUGCAUCUUUAUGGGCCAUAUGAAUAGUUCUGACCAAUUACAUAAACAAGAAAUAUUGAGUGGAGCCUCUGGUAAGUGCUACUCAAAAAAGGGGAACGUGUCUUUCUUACUCCCUUCAUUUAGUUGGUUGCUUGGAAUGUUGGUGUCAUGCUAAGGGGUCCAGCAAUCAUGGUAGGCCCUAGAAGAUGGAUACUACAUUCCUAACAUUACAAGGACCUUGAAGAAAUUAUACAUCUUUCCCCUAUUUUCUCCAUCCUCAGUGAAGGGGUUAGUUUGAAUAAGAAAGAAGUGGGCUCCAAUAGAAAUUUUGAGGUGUGUAUAAUGGUGAAAUAUUGAAGAAGAAAAUAAGAGCCUUUCUUCUAUUUUUCUGACCAAAUAAUGAUGGCACUUCCUGUCUUCUUUCACAGUGGGAAAGAUAAUAUAAACUAUUAAAAAUAUAUAAUUCUAAAUCUUACUCUGUAACCUAUUAUUAAAUUUUUGAAGGUAGCAUUUUCACUUUUCUCACCUGUAUGUUUCUCCAUGGUGUCUAGCAGAGGCCAUGUCAAAUUGCAGAAACUCAUCUAUUCUCCGUGACCAUGACUCCUGGCCAGAACUGAGUGGGCAGUGGAUAGGACAUCUGAGCCAAGUUGGUGCAAUCAUAUUGGCUCUUUCAGGAUCUUGGAAUUGGAAUUUAGAGACCUGUGACUUAUAUGAGUAUACUUGGGAGUUAUAAGGCAAUGGCUGUUCUGUAUGUACAUAGAGAAGCAGAGACAACAUGUAUGGAGAGAGAGAAUGAUAAAGCAGCCAUAUAGAAGAAAGACAGACUGUGUGUUCCUUGAGAGACAGUGUGUGUAAGACAGAAAGGUAGAGAUAGGUUGAAAGAAACAGAGAGAGAGAGAGAUAAAGAGAGAGAGAAAAUGAUAAAAGAGUAGCUACUUGGAUUUUUGAUCUGUCUCCAGGCCUUCUGAGGCCUGCUUGCAUUUCCACAUACCAUCACUCAAGACUCAAGAUAAUCUCUGUGAUGAGUCUUUGUAACUUGCACACCAAAAAAAAAAAAGUCUUCAUGCAUGAUAAAUUAUUCCCUGCAGUUCCACAGAGAUCUUCUAAGGGAAAGAAAAUAUA